GAAACUGCCUCCACUAUUUAAAUCGAUAUCAAACUACCCGCAAUAUGUUUAAGCCAUUAGUGUGGAUGUGACGUGAGGUUGAAACUUCCCCGCUAAUGGAGCAAGGUGCCAAGUUUUAUUUCCAGCACCGAUCUUAACUUCAGGUGGAUAACACCGUCUCGUGAACCACGUAUGGCUCACAAAACGUGAUCUUGGGACGUCUCAAUAUUCUGGUUCACGAGAAGCCGCAGAACUAAUACAACUUUUAUAAACCUUGCCAUAAAGUUGUCAAGACACCAGGAAACAUAAAAAUUUCAAGAGUUUGCUCUAGCUUCAAUUGCCGAAGAAGGAGUUACUAUGCCGACAUGGACA